AGAGUUUGAUCCUGGCUCAGGAUGAACGCUAGCGGCAGGGCCUAACACAUGCAAGUCGAGGGGCAGCACGGUGUAGCAAUACACUGGUGGCGACCGGCGCACGGGUGCGUAACGCGUAUGCAACCUACCCAUAACAGGGGGAUAACACUGAGAAAUUGGUACUAAUACCCCAUAACACCAGGACCGGCAUCGGUUCUGGUUGAAAACUCCGGUGGUUAUGGAUGGGCAUGCGUUGUAUUAGCUGGUUGGUGAGGUAACGGCUCACCAAGGCAACGAUACAUAGGGGGACUGAGAGGUUAACCCCCACAUUGGUACUGAGACACGGACCAAACUCCUACGGGAGGCAGCA
rnacentral:rRNA from 1 species